UACGUAGGGGGCAAGCGUUGUCCGGAUUUACUGGGCGUAAAGGGCUCGUAGGCGGCCAACUAAGUCAGACGUGAAAUCCCUCGGCUUAACCGGGGAACUGCGUCUGAUACUGGAUGGCUUGAGUUUGGGAGAGGGAUGCGGAAUUCCAGGUGUAGCGGUGAAAUGCGUAGAUAUCUGGAGGAACACCGGUGGCGAAGGCGGCAUCCUGGACCAACACUGACGCUGAGUGAGCGAAAGCCAGGGGAGCAAACGGG
rnacentral:rRNA from 1 species